rnacentral:rRNA from 1 species
AUUGAACGCUGGCGGAAUGCUUUACACAUGCAAGUCGAACGGCAGCACGGGGCAACCUGGUGGCGAGUGGCGAACGGGUGAGUAAUACAUCGGAACGUGCCCAAUCGUGGGGGAUAACGUAGCGAAAGUUACGCUAAUACCGCAUACGAUCUACGGAUGAAAGCGGGGGAUCGCAAGACCUCGCGCGAAUGGAGCGGCCGAUGUCAGAUUAGGUAGUUGGUGGGGUAAAGGCUCACCAAGCCGACGAUCUGUAGCUGGUCUGAGAGGACGACCAGCCACACUGGGACUGAGACACGGCCCAGACUCCUACGGGAGGCAGCAGUGGGGAAUUUUGGACAAUGGGCGCAAGCCUGAUCCAGCCAUUCCGCGUGCAGGAUGAAGGCCUUCGGUUGUAAACUGCUUUGUACGAACGAAACGGUUACUCUCUGAUACAGGGGCGUAAUGACGGUACCGUAAGAAUAAGACACGGCUAACUACGUGCCAGCAGCCGCGGUAA